CCGCCUUCAGGUCUUGGCUGUGGGGACACUUCUCGGUGAGGCCCCGCUUCCACCCCAUCCCUCAGGGCCCUGCCCUGCGCCAGCCCAGGGGCCCCGCAGGAUGUUCACCACCGCCCAGCGCUUCCCUUCCUCUUUCGCGUUCUGUGUCUGCACUGGAGCGGCCGGCCCGGCAGUGAUGAUAGACACAGAAAUUCUGUGGUAAAAGCAAUGUUCUCAUUAAAGUCAGACACCAAAUGGGGUAGAGACGAGCUUGGUGGUGACGCUCACAGAAUUCAUAACUGCGGCUGUGACCAGGUGGCAAAGCAGAGGCUGUGGUUAUUCACCUUUGCCACUGUCUUCCGGUGUGCCCAGUCACAGGAGCUGCACGGCAAUGCAUCUGAGACCAUGCGGUGUCACCUUCACAGAAGUGCUCUGGCACAGAGACUCCAGCCUUGCCGGCCUCUCGCCUCCCAAGCACAGAAGCCUCCAGAACGCUGCUUCAAGGACAAGCCCAGGAGACCUGCCAUGCUCAUGCGUGUCUUUGGAAACAGGUUCUCUAAAUUUUGCUUGUGGUUUGUUAAAAAAAAAAAAAAAAUCAGAAGUGUAAUCAAAGACUUCAACAAACGAAGCACCAAAACACUUCAGCUUUGAAAUGUAGAAUUGCAAUGACUGGAAACACGGCUCGCAAAGCAAAAGACAUUAAAAUUCAGUCAUCCCUACAGAAGCCGGACAGGAAUUGAUCACAUCCACUAGUGAAGGCUCAGAAAGUGACAAGAUUUCAUUUGGAAAUCGUACCUGUGUCCUUGGGAACAUCCUGAACCUUGGGAAGCAUCAGCUCAUGGAGUUCCUAUUAACUGGAUAAAUUUAUAUUCUAGAUUGAAAUGGAAUGGAAUUAAGUAGGCCCACGGUUUUGCAGCACGUACAUUUGAAGAAUCAUUAAAAAUCAUCAUAGAAACAAUUUAUUUGACGAGAUUUGUCUUGUACAAAUAUUUGUUAAAUAUUUGUACUCCGAACGGAGGCCAAAAGACAGCACCUGUGGGAAACUUUAGGCUGAAAUAUUUACACAUUUCAACGCAAAAUGUCAGAACUGAGAAUCUGCCGUGUGCUCACAAGGUACCCCAACCCUGCAGAGAGAGACAAUUUUCUUGAUCCAAAUGUCAUCAUCUACCCAGAAGUGUCCAUGGACAGCACAGAUUCACAUUCUGGGGCCGUUAAAAUGUGAAUGUGAGCUAUCAAUGGACACUUCUGGGUAGAUCAUGACCUUUGGAUUAAUUAAGAUUGAUCCAGGCCCGGCGCAGUGGCUCAUGCCUGUAAUCCCAACACUUUGGGAGGCCGAGGUGGGCAUAUCACUAGAGGUCGGGAGUUCGAGUCCAGCCUGGCCAAUUUGGUAAAAACUGUCUCUACUGAAAAUACAAAAAUUAGCUGGGCACGGUGGCAGGUGCCUUUAAUCCCAGCUGCUUGGGAGGCUGAGGCAUGAGAAUCGCUUGAACCCAGGAGGAAGAGGUUGCCGUGAGCCAAGAUUGCGCCACUGCACUCUAGCCUGGGUGACAGAGUGAGACUCCAUCUCAAAACAAACAAACAAACAAACAACCCAAAAAAUUAGC
rnacentral:lncRNA from 1 species